GUUUAACUUUUACCUAACCGCCUCUUUCGCGCGUUUCACCGUGUUGUAAAAAGCUGAACGAACGCAAUAAAAACGAUCGCAACUGCUUCGGAUGGAAUAAUCUCGAAGCUUAGAACGCAGAUCGUCGACAUUGAAAAAACCAAUCAAUCGCAAAAAUGAUGGGGUUAUCUGACGAAUCCGGAGAAAUUCACUCAUAUUCACCAAUCCCUACACGGUGCCGGAGGAUGGAGAGGUAAUUACAACCAUCGAGCCAGAUUAUUGUGAGUAUUAUUAUUACCAUUUUUUCUCUCAUAAACCGCAAGUUUUUAAUACCUCGCCCAACGAAGAGAGUUCGCUGUCCGCUACGGGUGAGAGAAAAAUAAUAUUUUUGAAACAAAAUCUUGUAUCCCACAAGUUUUUUGCAAAUGCAAAAAUAUAAUAAAAUAAAUUCAUUGCAUACGAGCGUUAGUGCAGUAAAGGAAGGCAAAAUAUGCGUUCUCCGAGGGUGUCGUUCUCAAAGAAUAAUAAUAGCAGUAAAAAAAAAAUAAUCAAAAAAUCGGAGGACAUCAAAAGCACCGCAAUAUUUUCAUCGCAUUAACGGGGUAAAGUAUUAGCCAAUAAAGUCGGCGCCCAUAGUAGCGUGUCCAACGUCGACUUACCCAGCUGUUGCUGUAAAAGCAACACCUUGUUCACCUCAGCUCAUAUCCCUACACAACUCGUUUAAGGUAGAAGAUGGGGAAGAGAAUUAUAAAUGCGAAAGAGAACCUCAAACAAAAAUAAACAAACUGAAGACCAAAAAAAUAAAGAAGACUCGUUUACUUUGGAUAAUUUGCAUACCAUAUCUUGCAGCCAACGAGGAACGUAUGCAUAUAACUUGGUACAAUUUAACCGGCUAAUUAAACACGUACCGAACGUAUUUUAAUUACGACAUGGCAAGGAUCUUCAAUAUUAUUACUCGAGGUGCCGGCGUGCGACUUUCCAACCACACAGGGCUCAUCUUCUUCAUCAUCAUCAUCGUAUCUCUAACAAUUGAAUUACCCUCAGUACACGGCAGGAAGUGCGUGUGCACAAGCAAGUCAUGCCUGGAGGCAGGCACGGACACCUGCAGGACGCGUUUCUCCUGUUGCACAGAACUCAUCCUGAUCGACGAGGGACAAGGAAACACUACACCCGGGGCUGCACCGAGUAAAAAAUUUUUUCCUCCCGCUCUUUUGCUUCCUUUUUUUUUAUGUAUAUAUAAUUUAUUUAUUUAUUUUUUGCGAUAUUUCGCGCCCGUUAAGCCAGCAAUGCAACGUAUGUACCGGUGUAAGUCCAAUUUAUUUCUAAUAUGUAUAAAGUAGGAAAUUAUUAGGAUCUUGAGGAAAAUGGGUAAUAUGAACGACAG
rnacentral:lncRNA from 1 species